rnacentral:rRNA from 1 species
GAUGAACGCUGGCGGCGUGCUUAACACAUGCAAGUCGAACGGGAUCCAGGCAGCUUGCUGCCUGGUGAGAGUGGCGAACGGGUGAGUAAUGCGUGACCGACCUGCCCCAUACACCGGAAUAGCUCCUGGAAACGGGUGGUAAUGCCGGAUGCUCCGACUCCUCGCAUGGGGUGUCGGGAAAGAUUAUAUCGGUAUGGGAUGGGGUCGCGUCCUAUCAGGUAGUCGGCGGGGUAACGGCCCACCGAGCCUACGACGGGUAGCCGGCCUGAGAGGGCGACCGGCCACAUUGGGACUGAGAUACGGCCCAGACUCCUACGGGAGGCAGCAGUGGGGAAUAUUGCACAAUGGGCGCAAGCCUGAUGCAGCGACGCCGCGUGCGGGAUGACGGCCUUCGGGUUGUAAACCGCUUUUGAUCGGGAGCAAGCCUUCGGGUGAGUGUACCUUUCGAAUAAGCACCGGCUA